rnacentral:rRNA from 1 species
UACGAAGGGGGCUAGCGUUGCUCGGAAUUACUGGGCGUAAAGGGCGCGUAGGCGGCGCAACAAGUCACUUGUGAAAUCUCCGGGCUUAACCCGGAGCGGUCAAGUGAUACUGUCGUGCUAGAGUGCGGAAGGGGCUACUGGAAUUCUCGGUGUAGCGGUGAAAUGCGUAGAUAUCGAGAGGAACACCUGCGGCGAAGGCGGGUUGCUGGGCCGACACUGACGCUGGAGGCGCGGAAAGCUAGGGGGAGCGAAACGGG